rnacentral:rRNA from 1 species
GACGAACGCUGGCGGCGUGCUUAACACAUGCAAGUCGAACGGAAAGGCCCUGCUUUUGUGGGGUGCUCGAGUGGCGAACGGGUGAGUAACACGUGAGUAACCUGCCCUUGACUUUGGGAUAGCUUCAGGAAACUGGGGCUAAUACCGGAUAGGAGCUCCUGCUGCAUGGUGGGGGUUGGAAAGUUUCGGCGGUUGGGGAUGGACUCGCGGCUUAUCAGCUUGUUGGUGGGGUAGUGGCUUACCAAGGCUUUGACGGGUAGCCGGCCUGAGGGGGUGACCGGCCACAUUGGGACUGAGAUACGGCCCAGACUCCUACGGGAGGCAGCAGUGGGGAAUAUUGCACAAUGGGCGGAAGCCUGAUGCAGCAACGCCGCGUGCGGGAUGACGGCCUUCGGGUUGUAAACCGCUUUCGCCUGUGACGAAGCGUGAGUGACGGUAAUGGGUAAAGAAGCACCGGCUAACUACGUG